rnacentral:rRNA from 1 species
GAGUUUGAUCCUGGCUCAGGACGAACGCUGGCGGCGUGCUUAACACAUGCAAGUCGAACGGUGAUGCCCAUCUUGCUGGGUGGAUCACUGCCAAACGUCUGAGUAACACGUGAGCAACCUGCCCCUGACUUCGGAAUAAGCCUUGGAAACGGGGUCUAAUACCGGAUAUGACGUCUCGCCGCAUGGUGCGGUGUGGAAAGUUUUUCGGAUGACGAUGGACUCCCACUCUAUGAGCUUGAUGUGGGGAUGAUGGUCUAACAUGGCUUUGACUUUUAGCCAGUCUGACAGGCUUACCGGAUCCCCUGCCUCUGAAACGCGCACUGUACUCCGACGGAAGGCCACAAUGUAGAAUAUUGGAUGAUGUGACAACGUCUGAUGCUUCCACCCAGCUGGAGGCAUGACGCUCUUCUGAUUGCACGCCUCUUUCCGCUGGCAACAAGCGAAGAGGAUUGUACCUGUUGCGAAACUUACGGCUAACUACUCAGGACACAGAGCUGACUAAUACGUAUGCACGCACUGUGUGUCCGACAAUUAUUGGGGCCACCAUCUCUGGUAGUUUCCUUGUCACGUCUGCCGUUGAAAACCGUUCUUCUCAGCCUCAUCGCUGUAAUCCGCAUGCUCCGCACGCUUGUGCGGGCCCCCGAGACUGCAAUUCCUGUUGAAGCGUGCGAAUGUACUCAUAUCACGAGGAACUUAGAUGCGUUAGCUGCGGUCUCUGAACUCGUGCUGAGAGCUCAGGAGCUAAUGCCUGACGAUUACACAGUGUUACUAUCCCCUGAUCUAAUCUGUGUUCGCUCCCCAUGCACUCGCUGCGGAGCUCUUUCUGCGACUCCGAUGCCGCAGCUAACGCAUUAAGUGCCCCGCCUGGGGAGUACGGCCGCAAGGCUAAAACUCAAAGGAAUUGACGGGGGCCCGCACAAGCGGCGGAGCAUGCGGAUUAAUUCGAUGCAACGCGAAGAACCUUACCAAGGCUUGACGUGCGCCGGAAACUGCCAGAGAUGGUGGCCCCGUAAGGUCGGUGCACAGGUGGUGCAUGGUUGUCGUCAGCUCGUGUCGUGAGAUGUUGGGUUAAGUCCCGCAACGAGCGCAACCCUCGUCCCAUGUUGCCAGCGGGUUAUGCCGGGGACUCAUGGGAGACUGCCGGGGUCAACUCGGAGGAAGGUGGGGAUGACGUCAAAUCAUCAUGCCCCUUAUGUCUUGGGCUUCACGCAUGCUACAAUGGCCGGUACAGAGGGCUGCGAUACCGUAAGGUGGAGCGAAUCCCAAAAAGCCGGUCUCAGUUCGGAUUGGGGUCUGCAACUCGACCCCAUGAAGUCGGAGUCGCUAGUAAUCGCAGAUCAGCAACGCUGCGGUGAAUACGUUCCCGGGCCUUGUACACACCGCCCGUCAAGUCACGAAAGUUGGUAACACCCGAAGCCCAUGGCCCAACCCUUGUGGGGGGAGUGGUCGAAGGUGGGACUGGCGAUUGGGACUAAGUCGUAACAAGGUAGCCGUACCGGAAGGUGCGGCUGGAUCACCUCCUUUCU